rnacentral:lncRNA from 1 species
GAAUCCUUCCUAUAGAUCCCAGUGUGGGAAAUCAAUUCUCCAUGUACAACAUUUCCACACUAGCAUUUGAGAAGAUACAGUCAACUUUCUCUCAAUAGGGAAAUCGAUAAAAUAUGGUGAAAGUAUUGCAGAAAGCUUUUCUUAUGAUAUUUUUCUCUUCUAAACAAUGGGCAUAAAUAGCAAUCGUAUGUCUCUAAUUUAGAAAAUCCAUAUCUCUCAAUAUACAAGCUAUAUCUUGUGGUAGUGGGUGAGAAUCAUGGGAUUAUACCAGUACCCCAGCUUGGAGAGAAUCACGGAAUUGCAACACUCCCCCCAAUUUGGAACGUAAAUGCCGCUCAUGCCUAUCUUGUUGAGAUCCAUUUAAUGCUUGGCUUAACAAGGCCUUAGUGAGCAUAUUUGCAAGUUGGUCUUUAGAUCGAACAUGUGGCACUUCAAUAAUCUUUGCUUAUAGUUUUUCUUUGAUAAAAUGCCUAUCAAUCUCAACAAGUUUGGUUCGAUCAUGUUGAACUAGAUUAUGGACAAUAUUACAUCCUGCUUUGUUAUCAUAGUACAACUUCAUAGGGUUAGCUUACUCUAUAUGUAAUUCUUGUAAUAAAUUUCUGAUCUACAGUAAUUCGCACACUGGCUUAGACAUUUUUCUAUAUUCGGCCUUAGCACUUGAUGUUGCCAUUACCUCCUAUUUUUUACUUCAUUGUGUAACUAGAUUUUUACCUACAAAUGUGAAAUAUUCAGAUGUUGAGCAUCUAUCUUCAACCGAUCCCGCCCAAUCUGCGUCGGUGUAUCCUCGAAUGCCCAAGUUGUCCCCUUUCAUAAACAUGAUGCCCUUUCUUGGAGAUGACUUCAAGUACCGCAACAUAUGAAUGACAAAAUUUAUAGGUUCUUCGCUUGGAGAAUGCAUGAAGUGGAUAAAAACACUUCGUGCAUAAGCCAGAUCUGGUUGAGUAUGAGCAAAAUACAUCAACUUCCUAACUAGUCUCUGAUAUCAUUCUUUAUUAGCAGGAACUUGAUCCAGAUCCUUGCUUACUUUUAGAUUUUCUUCUAUAGGAGUACAAAUUGGACUAUAUAUUGUCAUGCUAGUUUCUUUUAACAGAUCUAAGGCAUAUUUUCGUUGAGAUGGAAAAAUAUAUUUUUUUGAUCUUGACACUUCAAUGCCAAGAAAAAAUAUCAUCUCACCCUAAUCUUUCAUUUCAAAUUCACUAGCAAGAUAAUCCUACAAUGCCUUCUUCUCUUCUGGAUCAUUUCCAGUUACUAUCAUAUCAUCAAUAUAUACAAUGAGAUGAGUAAUCUUUCCUUUAUUAUGCUUCAUGAAAAUGGUAUGAUUAGAAUUACAGACAUGCAUGUUAUCUUUCGACUGUAUAUUACACCUAGGGGACAAUUCCAUGUAGACUUCUUCUUCAAGAACUUCAUACAAGAAUGCAUUCUUCAUAUCAAAUUGGUGCAAGGACCAGCCAAGGUUCACAACAAGGAUAAUAAAAUACGUACAAUAUUUUUUUCAUCGGUAAAUGUAAAUUUUUAUUGAUUAAAAUUUUUCAUAUAUAAAUACACCGGGCAAACAAAAGCCAAUAUCACAUACAACUACUUCGGGCAUACUCGGGAGAUACAAAAUAAGUGAAAUGCGUAAGAAGUCAAUGACCCAACACUAAUGACUCGAAAUAGAUCAAGACACCCGGAUACAAGGAGAACAUUACUUUGUAUACAUGUGUCUUAAUCCGUCUCACAAUACAAUCCAAGUUAGGUGAAAGGUCUUAAAAAAUCUUCAUAUUACGUGUUAACCAAAUGUAGUAGACGGUACUUGCAAGUGCAAUCCUCUUUGCCUUGCUUUGCCAUGACGUCCUACGAGUCUCUUUUUUCAACCACUUAAAAGUCCUAGCAAUUGUUGACAUAUAUCUUUUGAUGCUGAGUCACUGUCUAAUAUUCCCCUACAAGGACGAAGAGAAAAAACAUUCAAAGAAUAGGUGACAUCCCGUUUCCGCCAUAUGUCCACAAAAAACACAAUCACAAUCAAUAUCCAAAAAUGCAAUUUGUCUUUUGUUAGGAGUUUAGAUUGAAUCCCUAACCAAAGCAAAAAUGAGUGCUUGGGAGUAAUGCAAGAUUUCCAAACAUCACCCGCCCAGACCUUUCUUGAACCUUUCGGCCUGAAAAAGUGAUAGACAGAUUUUGUGUUGAAGUUUUCACCUGUCGACUAGCCCCUAAAUCUGUUUAGAUUUUCCUCUUUUCGGUCCCUUUCUUGUGCAGCCAUAGCCCAUUGUGUUGAGGCAAUUCCAGUAGCCACAAAUAGAUUGUUUCUCUCCCCUUUGAUCAAAUGAAAUAGUCUGUCCAUAAGAAAAAAUCUGGGGGCCAGCAACAUUUUCCAACAAUAUAUCUCUGAUUUCCAGCAGUUUUUUGAAGAGUGGAGAGUGAUUUUUUCUAGGAAGAACAUUCCAAAUGCAAGUCCCUUUAAGAUAAACUUGGUCUACCUAACAUAUUCAUAGCGUGUCUUUUUUAUGUUGAAUAUUCCAAAGAGAUUUAGCAAGUGAAGCUAAAUUCCAACUCAUCAUGUCUUUCAACCCAAGACCUCCUUCUUCUUUUGGUAAGCAAAUAUCUUUCCAAGCAACCAAAGGUUUUUUGGAUCCCCAAAGAAAUUUGCAGCAUCUACACAUGACACUUUCUUUCCUUCAGGUAACUUAACAACUUCUCAUGUUGAAUUCUUUUGGAGGGACUGCAUUUCUUUUUUCAUUGUUUUCUUCCAUCAUGGAUCUUUUAAGACAUCCUGCACACUAUUAGGAAUAGAUACAACGGAUAAUUGAUUAACAAAUGAUUUAUUUUCCUUUGACAAUCAAUGGUAAGACACAGAGUUACUUAUAGGAUACUUAGCUUUGGAAUUGAGAAAAAGUUCAUAUCUUUCUCUAGGUAUCCCUCUUGUGACUCGAUUUGGUAGUAUUUUUAGGCGAGGUCUGAAAUUUACCUGAGGUGUAGUCAAGGAGUCAUGUUCAGGAAGCAAUUGGUUAAAUACUACCUCAUAAAGUAGGGGACCUAGCUUCGAAUCUUCUGAUAAAGGUGAGGCCAUUUCUACUUAAUUUGGAAUAUUUUCAUCCUCGAAAGUGUGAUCAUGUGGACAUUCACCACAUAUAUCCAAAUUAUCACCACUUACAAAAUCCAAUUUGUCCAAGGAAUAAUUCAGAGUCUGUAAUUCAUUUUAAUUAUUUCAAUUCUUUCCCUAAAGUAAAGAUUCUGAAAAAUACAUGUCACUUUCAUGAAAUACACAUCAAGAGUGACAUAUAGUUUGCGAGAAUGAGGGUGAGAACACCGAUAGCGAUGUAUAGCCAACAAAUACACAACGAAGAGUUCAACGUUCCAAUUUAGUUCUCAAGGGUUUAUGAAGAUGUACAAAAGCAACACACCAAAAUAUUUAAGGGGGUAGAUUUGGGAUAGUAGGAGAACUUACAAUUUCAUGAAAAAUAUUAAAAGGUGUCUAAAAUUGUAAGGAACGGUGAUAGCCUCACCCUAGUAACUAGUUGCCAUGUGGGCCCCAAACAAGGAAGGACAAACAACCUCGAGAAGGUGACAAUUUUUUUGCUCUACAACCCUAUUUUGCUGAGGUGAGUAAUGACAGGUGGUUUGGUGAACAAUUCCACGUGUCUGCAAAUAUUGUUUCAAAUCUUGAUUAACAAAUUGUCCUUCACUAUCAGCACGAAGCACCUGUAUCUGAGAUUGAUACUGAGUGUUAUCAUUUUGUGAAAUUUUUGAAAUAGUGAGCUAAUUUUAUGUUUGGAUUUCAUGAAACAGACCUAAGUCAUACGAGUGUGAUCAUUAAUAAAGAAAACUAACCAACUUGCACUACUUAAUGAAGAAUUAUUGGUUGGACUCCAUACAUCAGAGUGAAUUACCAUAAAUGGAACUGGACUCUUAUUUAUACUUAUUUAAAAUGACCCACGAUGACUCUUAGCCUGUUCACACAUAUCAGCCAUGAAAUCCGAAACAUUACAUUGAGAAAAUAGCUUUGGAAAUAAUUUUUUUAAAUAUCCAAAAGAUACAUGACCUAAGCACCUUUGCCACAACCAAAUUUCUGAAGUCUUGUCGGAGUGAUCCACUAAGAAAACUCGAGUCAACUGAUUAGAGCUAGCCGAUAAUAGAUCAAGAUUAUAGAGCUUCCAUCUCCAAGUACCAUAAUCAAUUAUAUCCUGAGUAUGGAUGUCCUUAAAAACACGACAGUUAGACCAAAAAAAUCAAAUAGGUUAUUUAAACAACAAAUAACAAGUUAUGGUUGAAUGAAGGAACAUCGAGAACUGAAUCCAAAUUUAAUUUAUUUGAAAGAGGAGGCAAGACUUCUCUAAUCAUUGGAGAGAAAUUACCAUUGGCGGUAGAUACUACAGAAUGUUUGGAUGGUUUAUAGAGUGAAUACUGUGAGUGUCAAAUGUCAUAUGAUCAUUUGCACGAGAAUCAAUUAUCAUGUAUUGUUACUAUUAAGCUCAGAAGUAUGUAGGACAUUACAAUAUUACUUGAAGUAGCAAUUAAAGAGGAGGCUUUCUCAGCAGAGGUGUUUAUAGGUUCAGCCAUGGCGAUAGAGGCAUGAUAAUUGGUUUGUGAAUUUAGCUUAUGUGGUACCUUUGUAGGAUCCAACCAAUUUGGGUAUCCGAUCAGUUCAUAACUGUAGGAGCCAGGAUACGCAAACAACACAGAACAUUCACACAGCUAAAGACUAAAAGUGCAGAUCUGAAGAAAAUAAAACGCAACAGAUUUUUCGGCCGAAGCCCCGAGGUUCAGCGAUCAACAAGACCGCCUAAUCCCCGUUGAGCAUCCAUGGAGGAAUAAGCUCGAAUCCACUAAAUCAGCCAGCCAAAACCAACAAAGUAUCGAUUACAACGGAACACACAGUUCAACAAAUUUCGCACAGCACAACACAACAGCUUCUCUACACAACAAGAACUCACACAAGAGUUCACAGAGCUAAGUUUUUCUCUACAAAGAUCACUCAAGAUCAAUAACCCAAGGAAUCACAAGAAAAAUACAGAGAGAAACUCAAACCGAGAAGAAGCUGUGCGAAUAUGAAAAAGGGUCACAAACCCUAGAGUCUUUUGACUCAAUUAAAAGGAGAUAGCUCAAUCAUCUCAAUCCAACGGCUCACCAUUCACCACGUGUUGACGAUCCACAAGAGUUGUUAUUUUAAAAACUAAAAACGUGUUUUAAUUAAAACCAAAAUUGGUUCCAGAUUCUUCCAUUAAAUGGGCUGUCAAUCGGGUCAUGGGCUGGGUCUUUACUUGGGCCACUUUAAGUAGCUGGGCUGGACUCCACAAAAGCAGCAACACACUUAACAUUCUCCACCUUUGCUGUUUUGUGCUGUCUCUAAAUGUGGAUUCAAAAAACUUAUACCUCCAUUUCAUUUGCUCUUUAUUACCUGUAAAAACAAAAUAAAGAAAAAUUAGUCUUCUUCAAGAUUAAUCAAUCUUAAAGAAUCAACAAAUUUAUUUAUAGGGAUUACCUUAGUCCCGGCAUCUACUGGAUUUACCUUUGUUGGAAUUUUUACCAAUCUAAUAUCACCCCUAUCUAUGAUAUCUCUAAUGAAAUGGAACUUAACAUCUAUAUGCUUAGAUCUAUCAUGAAAAAUAGGAUUUUUAUUUAGAAAAAUGGCACUUUGGUUGUCUGAACAUAGCUCCACCUGAUUUUCUAUAAGACCUAAUUCACUAAGUAAACCCUUCAGCCAUAAUCCCUCUUUCACCGCUUCAGUUGCAGCAAUGUAUUCAGCCUCGGUUGAAGACAAUGCAACAAGUUUUUGAAGCUGGGAUUCCCAGCUAAUGCAUGUAUCAUUUAUUACAUAGAAAUAUGCAGUUGUGGACUUCCUAUUAUCCGGAUUUUCAGCAAAAUCUGAAUCUACAUGUCCCUUAAGUCUAAGUCCAUUUUUAUUUGCUUUGAACAUUAAACCUAAGUUAUUGGUUCCUUUCAGGUAUUUUAUCAGAUUUUUCAUGCAUUGCCAAUGUAUUUCACCUGGGUUACUCAUAAAUCUACUUAGCACACUCACGGCAUAAGCAAUAUCAGGUCUAGAGCAAACCAUAACAUACAUAACAGAUCCAACGGCAUUAGAAUAAGGCACAUCUAUCAUUCUUUUAUGCUCUUCUUCAGUUUUAGGCGAUUGAUCAACAGAUAGUUUCAUACCAGCAGAUAAAGGCAAACUAACAGGCUUAGAUUCAUGAAGGGAGAACCUUUUUACAACCUUAUCAACAUAAGAUUUUUGUGUUAGAAACAUCUUCCCAUUUAUCCUAUCUCUUUUUAUUUCCAUGCCCAAAAUCUUUCUAGCUGGUCCUAGAUCUUUCAUUUCAAAUUCAGAUUUCAGAUUUUCUUUAAUUGAAUUAAGUGCAGCAGAAUUGUGACCAGCAAGGAGCAUAUCAUCAACAUAUAAAAGCAGAUAGAAAAAAUCAGAUUCUCCUUCUUUCUUGUAAUAGAAACAGGGAUCGUAUUCUGAUUUCCUAAAGUUCAAACCUUGUAUAAAAGAAUCAAAUUUUUUAUACCACUGCCUAGGAGCCUGUUUUAGGCCAUACAAUGAUUUCUUUAAGAGACACACUAAGUUUCCCUUUCCUCCCACUUCGAACCCUCUUGGUUGAGUCAUAUGUAUGGUUUCAUCCAAAGAACCAUACAAGAAGGCAGUUUUCACAUCAAGUUGUUCUAACUCCAAGUCAAAUUGUGUCACUAUAGCAAAUAAGACUCUAAUGGAUGUAUAUUUAACAACCGGUGAAAAAAUUUCAUUGUAGUCUAUCCCUUUCCUUUGAUUAAAGCCUUUAGCUACAAGCCUUGCCUUAAACCUCUUAUCACUUACUUUAGUCUCACCCUCUUUAAUUUUGUAAACCCAUUUACAAUCAAUCAACUUACAAUCUUUGGGUUUUUCAACUAAAAUCCAGGUUUCAUUCUUGAGGAGUGAGUUCAUUUCAUCUUCCAUCGCGGUAAUCCAUUUGAGGGAUUCCUUGGAAGAUAUAGCCUCUUCAUAAGAGGCAGGUUCUAACUCGAACAGAUCAGUUUCAGACUGAUCAGAUGCAAAAUCAGCAUGUUGAUACCUGGAAGGAGGUCUUAUUUCCCUCCUCUCUCUAUCCCUAGCAAGCUGGUAGCCCUGCAGAUCAUGUGCAGGUUUCAGAUGCUGUUCAUUUUCCAUAAUUUCAACAUCAGAGUCAUUUUGGGGUAUUAUCUGAUGUGGCUCCACCUCAAACUGAGCCUCAUCAUCAGUAUUGUGGUUAUCAAAAUUAAUUUCUGUGAUAAUAAAAUCAUCCUUUCCUAACUUCUCACCAGAUUUGUCACUAAGACAUGGAAAAUCAUCUUCAUUAAAGAUAACAGAUCUGCUUAUUAUCACCUUAUAACCCCUCACAUCUCUUAACCACAAUCUAUAGCCUUUAACCCCUUCUCCAUAUCCUAAGAACACACCCUUCAACGAUCUAGGGUCCAGUUUCGACUUAGUAUGAUGUGCAUAAGCUGCACAUCCAAAGGUUCUUAGGUGAGAAUAAUAUGGUAUUGAACCAGACCAAAUUUGUUCAGGAAGUUUGUUAUUCAAAGAGCUGGAAGGACAUCUAUUGAUAAGAUAACAGGCUGUUUUUACAGCCUCACCCCAGAAAANNNNNNNNNNNNNNNNNNNNNNNNNNNNNNNCAACCCCAUUUUGUUGUGGAGUAUAGCUCACAGUUUUAUGUCUCAUUAUCCCUUGUUUACUACAAUAUUGAUCAAAUUCCAUAUUGCAAAAUUCAAGCCCAUUGUCAGUUCUCAAAAAUUUUAUCUUCUUACCAGUCUGAUUUUCAAUCAAUACAUUCCAUUCUUUGAAAAUUGCAAAAGUAUCAGACUUAGAUUUUAAUAAGAAAAUCCAUGUUUUUCUUGAAUAGUCAUCAGUGGUAAGAAGAUAAUAUCUGUAGCCAGAUACUGUAGAAACAGGUGCUGGUCCCCAUAAAUCAGAAUGGAUAUAUUCAAGGAUAUCUUGGGAUUUGUGCAGCCCUGCCUUAAAAGGCAGUCUGACUUGUUUUCCCAUAAUACAGUGUUCACAGAAGGUCAAUUUUUGAACACUGUCCUUCCCAAAUACCCCUUGGAUUGAUAGAGUUUUUAAACCUUUUUCACUUAAAUGGCCAAGUCUUUUAUGCCACAAUUCUGAUUUAUCGGGAUGGGUGACAAAAUUCACAGAAUUUUUAGGUGAAACAAUUUCAGCACCUAUUACAUAAAUUCCAUUGAGCUUAGGUGAACUAACAAUAAGUUCUUGAUUUCUUGUUAUAUUUGUAAAACCAUUUUUAAUACCAAUAUGAUAUUUUUCAUCAUCAAGAACUCCUAGGGAUAUGAGAUUCCUCCUAAGUGCUGGAACAUAUCUUGUAUAUUUUAGUAACAUAUGUUUCCCAUUUUUAAAUUUCAGCAGCACAUUUCCAAUUCCUUUCACUUGGCAUGACUCAUCAUUUCCAAGUUUGACAGAUCCACCAUCCAGACUACAAAAGUCUGAAAUACAGCCAAUAUUGGGUGUCAUAUGAAAGGAACAACCUGAAUCAAGGACCCAGUCCUAAUCAGUAUUUUCAGUUAAAGACACAUAGGCAACUCCAAUAUUGGCCCCAUCUUCUUUAUGCUUAGCAAUAACUGCUAAAGAAGCAUUUUCAGUGUUAAAACCAUUCUUCUGAUCAUUUGUCUUUUUAAAACAAUCUUUAAUAAAAUGACCAGGUUUUCCACAAUAGAAACAUUUCUUAUUACUAUUGUUGCUGUUCAGUUUUCCUCUAAUUGGUUUCUUGCCUUUUCCUUUGGUGUUAUUCCAUUGUCUUUUAUUGAAAUUUUUGUUCUUGUUAAAAUUUGAAAAACUGAGAUUACUUACACCUUUGGCAUGUGAUUUUUGAUUGGAUGACACACCCUCAACAUGGAACACAUCUUUGUGUUCAGAUUUUAAUUCAAGUUCUCUGUUCAAAAGAGAACUAUGAAUUAUUUCAACAGUCAAAUCACUCCUACCAUACUCUAGGGCAUUUCUAAUGUCUUUAUAUUUAUCUCCUAGAGCAUUGAGCAGGCCCACUACCUUCUGUUCAUCAGAUAUUUUCUCUUCGCAGUUAGCUAAGUCUUGUGUGAUCCUAUUGAAUCUAUCCAUAUUCUCUCCUGUGUCAAGAUUAGGAUCAAACUUAAAGCUAAAGAACUGUCUCCAAAGAAAGCAUUUAUUUGGAACAGUCUUUGUGAGGUAGUGUUUCUCUAAGGCAUUCCAUAAUUCUACGGCAGUUUUAGUGUCUCCUACUUUCCUAAUCACAGAAUCAGAUAAGUGUAGAAACAAAGUGCUCCAGGCCAAUUCAUCUUGUUCAGUUUUUCUAGCCUCAGUUAGGGUUUCAGGCCAAGAUUCAUCAAUGGCCUUAGUACACUUUAACUGUAACAUAAGUGCUUUCAUUUUCUGGCGCCAGAGACUGAAGUCUCCUUUGCCAUCCCAAACUUGGACAUCUACCUUAGAGUUCAUUGUGUGCUAAAGUGUGAAUUGUAUACAGAUAUGUUAUAACAAGAUGUAUCACAACAAGUAAUUCAGUCAACAAGAUCAAUGUCUAAUUAUUCCAAUUUCACAGAAUGUGUUUAUUGUGCUUAAGUGUGGUGUGUACUGGAAUAUAUCACUCAGAUUAGUACACAAUUAAUAUACAGAUUACUUAAGCAUACAGUGAAUUCAAACACAUAAGCUUACACUCAGUAGGCUACCAUGAAUUGUAAAGGCAGUGUAUGUACCUUUAGCAAUUAUUCUUAAGCAAUUAAACACCUGAGGAAAUCAAAGAAGGUAUUAGUACAGUUCACGUAGAAUAUACAGCAAUUUAAACUAUAAAAAUAAUUUUGGGAAUUGCAGGUUUCUUGAACCGAAGCCCUAAUCCCCAAAGUUUCUAGGGUUCUCUCAGGGAACCCUAGACAGAGGUAGAGUUAGGGGAGGUUCAAUUGAAAAUUUGUUUUAAAAAUUUAUUGUCCAAAAAUUUUUACACACUGCAGGUACCAAUACUACAAAUUUUUCACAAGAAUAGUGUCUACUGAGGACUGCAGGUUCUACAAAACCGCACACACAUUAAAAAUCAAGAAACUUUAGUUUCUUAUCAAAGCAAAUUCAAUACUAAUUAUAAAAAUUUAAACUCAGUAGCAACAAUUUCUUUUCAAGAUCGACACCAACAAUUUUUAAUUGCAAGAGCACAAACGAUAGUUUUUCAGAAUAGCUAAUCUCUUUCAAGAAAAUUCGAUUACAGAAUGCAAAGGGUGUAAUGGCACACUAACAGUGCCUACACAUCAAACGAACACGAAGAGGAAUGAUUACUCAACAAUAAUGUUGGCAGAAUCAAAGAAACUGUCGUUUCCUUUUGGCUGACGACAAGGGUUUUCAAAACCCGUAACUAAAGGGAAUGAAAACAAAAAAGUUCCUACGCUCUGAUACCACUGUAGGAGCCAGGAUACGCAAACAACACAGAACAUUCACACAGCUAAAGACCAAAAGUGCAGAUCUGAAGAAAAUAAAACGCAACAGAUUUUUCGGCCGAAGCCCCGAGGUUCAGCGAUCAACAAGACCGCCUAAUCCCCGUUGAGCAUCCAUGGAGGAAUAAGCUCGAAUCCACUAAAUCAGCCAGCCAAAACCAACAAAGUAUCGAUUACAACGGAACACACAGUUCCACAAAUUUCGCACAGCACAACACAACAGCUUCUCUACACAACAAGAACUCACACAAGAGUUCACAGAGCUAAGUUUUUCUCUACAAAGAUCACUCAAGAUCAAUAACCCAAGGAAUCACAAGAAAAAUACAGAGAGAAACUCAAACCGAGAAGAAGCUGCGCGAAUAUGAAAAAGGGUCACAAACCCUAAAGUCUUUUGACUCAAUUAAAAGGAGAUAGCUCAAUCAUCUCAAUCCAACGGCUCACCAUUCACCACGUGUUGACGAUCCACAAGAGUUGUUAUUUUAAAAACUAAAAAAGUGUUUUAGUUAAAACCAAAAUUGGUUCCAGAUUCUUCCAUUAAAUGGGCUGUCAAUCGGGUCAUGGGCUGGGUCUUUACUUGGGCCACUUUAAGUAGCUGGGCUGGACUCCACAAAAGCAGCAACACACUUAACAAUAACAUUGGGAUUUAAUAUGGCCGAUUUUACGAUAGUGAGUACAAUAUCGUUCUAAUUUGGUAGCACAAAUUUGAUAUCUGCUCUUCUGGGAUUGAAUAGAGUCAGCAGCAAGGUUCGGUGAACUAGAAUUGAUUUUGGGUGAGUGUGCCGUUGUUCGGGCUUGUCUCGAUGAGCCAGCAUGGCUGAGGACUCUUGCGAAUUAGAAUCACCAUUAAUGGUUGUACGACGAAUAGCAUCACGACGAACAUAUCUAUAAGUGGCUUCAUGAUUCAUGACUGGGUCAUUUCUCAAUAUCUCACCACAGAUUUGUUCAAAGUCUGCAUUGAGCUCUCUAAGGAAGAUGUGUACAAGUAUUCAUUCGACAAAUCUUUUAAGGCAAUAACAUCAUCAGGAUCUUUCGUGAUAAUCUUAUCACGAUAAUCUAGAUCUUGAAAAAUUUCGACGAGUUUACCAUAAUAGAUGGAGAGUAAAUGUCCACCUUGUUUGGUAGAAAGGGCUCGUUGAUUCAGUGCAAAAAUUUAUUAUUCAUCUUACCUAUUUUAGAAUGCUUUAGCAAGAGCAAUCCAAAUUUCACGGGCAGUUCAUCAUCUAUGAUAGCAUUUCAUAAUCUCCGAUGACAUAGAGGUCAGCAACUAGCCUUUGAUCUUUUGAUUCUCGGCAUGCCACUUUGUACAUGAAGUGUCGUUCCACUUUGGGUAAGGCGCAUUUUUGCCCACAAUAUAUUCCAACUUUUCAUAGCUUGCAGUCUACAUCUCCAAGAUCUGGGACCAAGCAUCGUAGUUAGUUUUGUUGAGAGUAAUGUCGGCGUGGAAACCAGAAGAUUCUAAUUGGACAGGAAUAACUGACAUAGGGGCUUUGGUUUUAUCGGUAGAUUUUAGCUUGGACUGGCAUAGUGACUUUAGUUUUAUCGAUAGUAAUUUGAAAAAUGUUGGACAGUCUAAUAAUUGCAUAAGAUGGUUCAGAUGUACGGGCUUGUUUUGAUACCAAGUAGGAAAAUCAGAGAAAAAUGGUGAAAUACUGCAUAAAGCUUUUCUUAUGAUAUUUUUCUCUUCUAAACAAUGAGCAUAAAUAGCUACUGUAUAUCUCUAAUUUAGGAAAGCUAUAUCUCUCAAUACAAUCUACUUAAUUACAUAAUCAAUCUACAUGAGUAAAUCUUGGGUCCUGAAUGGUAGUGGAAAAGAAUCAUANNNNNNNNNNNNNNNNNNNNNNNNNNNNNNNNNNNNNNNNNNNNNNNNNNNNNNNNNNNNNNNNNNNNNNNNNNNNNNNNNNNNNNNNNNNNNNNNNNNNUUUAAAAGACAAAUUAAAUUUCAAUUUUGUAAUAUUUACCAAAAAUUAAUAUUUUCAAUUCAUCCCCAAAUCUUUUCCUAUUUCUGUAUCCAAUGGACUGUCACUAGUGAUCCGGACUGGUCCCCAAGACCAAGAGUCUUAAAUCAAACAAUUUUGAUUCGGGCUGUUCACCAGAAUAGACCACUUAUGUAAUUCACAGGCCAUACAGUGCUUCCCUUUUUUGCAUAAGGAUCAAAUAGACUCACUGACACAGAUUGACCCUAAGUGUCUCAAUCAGCAAUUCUUCGUUUACGAAAAGAAACCCCUUGUAUUUUGCCUAGGCAAAUUUAUAUCAACAUCAUGUGUGAUAAAAAAGAUUUGUAGUAGUUUUUUCAUUUAAAGUAUUUAAAUAAGAGCAGUGCUAUGUAGCACUGUUUGUGUGACGGUGACGUAAUUUGCUUACAAUUGGUUAAAAAAAUAUUAAUUACUAAUUGUCGAUUGUAGACUUUAGGGUCGCAUAGAUUGAUUCUAUAUAUAAUUAUUUUUCAAAAAAUAUUUCUUGUUCUCAAUCAUGAGUAGUCUCUAUAGGGUUUAGAGUUCAAAACUACGAAAGUUAAAAAUAAUAAAGUAAAUUGAAAUCAUAAUCAAGUCAACCAAAUACAAAGAUCCAUGAUGAAUACAUACUUUCCCGAAUAGUCCAAUCAAAUACGCUCUACAUUCUAACUAUCUCGUGCAACAUAGGACAUCACGUUUGGAUGAUCCUAAAAUAUUACAUAUAAGUAAACUUACUUGCAACUUUUUGAAAAAUGAAAUUAAAAUAUAUCUUGAGUCUAUGAGCUUGCUUCAUUUGUUUUAGGGCUUCUUCGGAAUGAAAUAACCCAAAUCUUUGAUAUUUGAGCAAGAACCAUGAGGCAAUUUAGCAAAAGUUUUUUGGUACAAAAGAGCAUAAGAAAAAUAAGCAAAAUUAUGGUUUAAGGUUUAAUUAUCAAUAAAAGUUUUCUUCAAAAUCAGUUGUCAAUUAUACAUAGAAUAUAUUUUAAAAUUUUUAAAAUUAUAUUAUAAAAUAUAUAGACUUAGAAGGUAAUCUCAUAUCUAAAUUUUAACAAUCAUUUUUAACGGAUUUCAAAAUCAUAAAAUCUGGAUAGAGAAAAUUACAUUAAUAAUCAGAUUCGAUGAUAUAAUUCUCAUGUAAUAAAUGAAACAUUAGCGUUAGAANCCCCCCCCCCCCCCCAAAAAAAAAAAAAAAAAAAAGCAUUUGAUUAACAAGUUCUAGAUACCAGGCACACCUUGACUAAGGAUAAUCAAGUUAAUUUCUUGAGUAAAUCACUUAUUGUCUCGAUUUGUUUUAAGUUCAUAUUUUGAUGAAAAUAAUAUUUUAGUCGAUUAUGAUAAAAGUUCACGAAAUAUAAGAUCAAAAAAUUGAUAAAGCAUUGAGUUAAUAUGUAUAUUAUGAACUCUUCAUGAAAGUCAUUAUGUCUUCGUCGAAAAUAUUAUAUUUCAUUGUAAAAAUUCCAAAGCAAUUAUUACUUUGCUGGUAAUAUUAUAUGUUUCUUCAUCUAAACUCAAGAUUCCAAAGCUAUUGAACGCAUGGUUCAACAGAAAUCUAAUAAUGACCAAACUGAAAAUUCAAUUUCAACCCAUGAUUAAGUAAUGAAAAAAAGACCAAAACACGAGCUUAAUCUGGUAGAUUAGAUUGGGUUAAACAUGAAAAGUGUAAUUUAUUUAUUUAUUUUUUUAAUUUCUCAAUUUCUUCCGUUAAAAAGAUUGGUCCGAUUCGACUCUUACGAGAUUGACAUGAAUAAAGGGUUUAAUAAUCAUGCGUAUGAACAUUUAAAACGUAUAAUUUUUUUUGCAUGUAUACAGUCGUUAAUGUUAAGGGUUACAAAAUCGAACUAGCAGUUAAAAAAUUAAAUAAAUACAUUCUCAAUUUUAAAAAAUGAAUUGUAAAAGUCAAUUCGACAUGUAUAGUCUGUUCUAUGAUUCUUGAUGGAUUUAAACUUCAAAUUUUUUACACACCACACCAUUGAAUCGAGUUUCGAACUGAAUCUCAAUUUCUAAACUUAAAAAGAUUGGUCCGAUUCGGCUCUUAUUAGAUUGACAUGAAUAAAGGGUUUAAUAAUCAUGCGUAUGAACAUUUAAAACGUAAUAUUAGAGAACCAAUAACGUGAGGGAUAAAUUACAAAAAUAUCCUAAUUACGAAACGAAACAACUGUUUUUCUUAAAAAUGUUGGCAAUUAUCGAACAGUGCUAAAACUUGUUACAAAUUCCCAAGUAAAUCAUAUUCUUUUCCCUCAAAACCCGCAUGAAAAGUUCUGAAAAGAGCUUCACCUCACUCACGUUUAAGUUUCGUUCAAUCCUUAACCCCCACAACACAACAAUUUGACCAAGGGCACUUUUGUCAUUUCAUCUCAUGUCACUCUUUCAUGCUACACUCUACUAAAAAUCUAGGACGUGUUUGGCGGGUGAAGUAUAAAAUGGGAGGAAAUUAUUUUGUUUACAAACUAAUAUAAUAGUCACUUGAAAAUUUUUGAAAAUUUCUAAAAUUGUUGAACCAUAAUCUUGGUGUUAUUUGGUAACCUUGAUUUAUUAGGACAUGUUUAUAUUUAUAUGCGAUUGUCUAGUAUAAUAGAUAAAUGUUAAUUUUAUUUAUUUAUUUAUUUUUGUACACUAGUCGAUCCAAGUAUUCACUUAAAAAAGAUAAAUGAUCAAGGGUAUUAAAGUUGAAUCAAGGUAGAAUCGUUAAUAAAAAAAGUUAGAUAUAUAAAUUUAAAAAAAUAAAAUAAAAUUAGGAAGGUGAUCUGGCCACUAUGUAAUUCUUUAAACGAUUUAAAUUUUUUUGGAUGUUAUCCUAUAAUCAGGCUGAAUCUCGAUUUUAUAGUUGGCUCAUGAGUCCAUAUACAUUUUUUAUUUUUUAUUUUAAAGCAAAAAUUUCGUAAAUUUAUGAAAUAAUUUUAAAUAUGAUAUAAAAACCUCUUAGACAUAAGAUAAGACAAACAUUUUUAUACAAAACAUUAAAUACGACAUAAAAAACACACAAGACGUUUCGUGAAGCCCAUGAGCCUAGGACUCUAAGCUCAUUUCAGCUCACCAAGUGGAAAGUCGAGCUCGACUCGAUCUAGCCCAAACUUGACCCGACCCUAAGAAUGUUUAAAGGUGGGCCUAAGUAGUUCGCGGUCAUUAUUACGCCUGUGCUGGUUUUAGUAGCACUAAUUAAUGCUAAUUAUUCCUACGAUUUUAUGGUAAAAAUGAUAAAUGCAAUCUAAUUUGGACUUUGCUCUUGAUAAAGCAAGCAUUUAUGACGUGGAAUUGAUUAUCGUUUGGGCCAUUGUUAUCUCUACCGAUUUUUGGAGGAACUGAUUAAUGCAAUUUAAUUUUGACGUUGCUACAAUCCUUAUUUUUUUAUCAUUUUGGCAUGAUUAAAUACUCUCAUCUUGCUAGGUAAGAAGGAGAAAAUGCCCCUCGGAGUAUAACUUAGUGGUGCAAAGGAUAGGAGUGAGGUACCUUCAGCCUUGCUGGCAGCCGCAAUAUGAGGGUUCGAUUCCUGAUAUAUGAAAUUGAAUUCUUUGUGGGCACUAGUGUACGGGCAAUCUUUUGUUCUCUAACCCGUUAGACACAUCCCGCGAUUUACUUCCCUCACGAUACUCCAGAGGCGGGUGGUGGGGACCCUUAAUGUUAGGGUUCAACCUUUAGGUAAGGAGGAGAUAUUACUUGAAAAUAACUUAAGCACUUCAAAAUGUAUAUUAUUAGUAGUGAAUAUUUCCUUCAUCAUCCUAUGCCAAACACACCUUUACAAACACGUUAUUUAAAUUUGUUUGGUAGAAAUUAAAAUUAAAUUUUAAUAAAAGUUAAUUAAAUAUGUAAUUUGAAAAGUUGUGAAAUUCAUAAAUUAUGUGAUUAAAGUGAAUUGUUGACUUUGAAAUUUAGGCAAAGUAUGAUAAUGUAGGAUGCAAAACGGGUGAGGUUAGUGGGUCCCUAUAUAAUAUAUGAUAAAUAGAGGUUAGUAAUAUUAUUGAUAAAGCUUUUAGACAGAGAACGAAAGAAAGAAAGAAAACAGUGAGUGAAAAAUAAGAGCUGUUUGAUACAAUGAAAAUUCCCGUUUGACCAAGGGCACUUUUGUCAUUUCAUCUCAUGUCGCUCUUUCCACGCUACACUCUACCAAAAAUCUAGGACGUGUUUGGCGGGUGAAGUAUAGAAUGGGGGGAAAUUAUUUUGUUUACAAACUAAUAUAGUAGUCACUUGAAGAUUUUUGAAAAUUUCUAAAAUUGUUGAACCAUAAUCUUGGUGUUAUUUGGUAACUUUGAUUUAUUAGGACAUGUUUAUAUUUAUACGCGAUUGUAUAGUAUAAUAGAUAAAUGUUAAUUUUAUUUAUUUAUUUAUCUUUGUACACUAGUCGAUUCAAGUAUUCACUUAAAAAAGAUAAAUGAUCAAGGGUAUUAAAGUUGAAUCAAGGUAGAAUCGUUAGUAAAAAAAGUUAGAUAUAUAAAUUUAAAAUAAAAAUAAAAAUUAGAAAGGUGAUCUGGCCAUUAUGUAAUUAUUUAAACGAUUUAAAUUUUGGAAAAAUUACAUGGUAUCAGAUACUUAAAGACCACAAUUCAAAAGCCAGGGACCAAGUUUCAUUGUACAAAAAUCAGGUUUUGACAUAUAAUAUAAACCCUAAUUUUAUUUCCACCCACUUUUAUUUCAUUCUCACACUCGCACUCUCACUCUUCCUUUCCAUCUUCAUCCUCUGUCAGAUGAUGCCGUCGCCGCCGUUGGAGCAUCCGUCGCCGGAGAUCAACCUCAUUUCACUUCGCCGUUGUCAGCACGUUGUGAAGAGAUCGGAGUCUGCGACGAAGGCUUCGAUCUGAAAUUCCUCCGAUUAGUGUUGUUUCUCCAACGAUUUGGUGUGGCCGAUGGUUUACGAGGUAGAUGUGCUAUGAACAAUUCUCCGACGAUUUGCUGCGAACAUCACUGCUUGCGGCUCUGCUUGAUUUUUUCCAUGGUUUUGAUUGUUGAUGGAUUUGACGGGUGGUGGUGUGUGCGCCUGUGCGGUGGUGUUGCUGAUGGUAUUGUUAGGUAAUGAGUGGUUGAAUUUUUUUCGAUUUGUGUUCUACCAGUUCGUGUGCAGUGGCUUUGGUGGUGGUGGUGGCCCUGACAUUAGCUGUGUACGAUGGUGGUGGUGGUUGUUGGCAGUGGUGAUUUUGGGUGGAAACGGUGGUGAGAUUGUGCAUAGGUAUUGUUAUUGUAUUUGGUGGUGGCGGUUAUUGUGGUUUUUGACGGCGGUGGAGGUGGUGGUUGAUGGUUGGAGAGCUGGUAAAGUUGAUUGCCCAGGUUCUUGUUAGCAAUUGAUUGGAUUUGGUGGUGAAAAUUUUGGCAGUAGCCUGGUAGUGGCGAUGGUGAUCAUAGUGAUGGAGUGAGAGUGGUGGUGACAGUAGAGGUGGUGGUGGUAUGUGACCCACUGUUUGACUUGUGACCAAUGUGACCUUAAAAUUUGAUAAUUGUGACGAACAAAUUCGAAAAUACGUGACUAAUAGAUAAUUUGUGACCUAUAAUUUUUUAAUCUGCGACCAAUGAUGAAAACUAUGACCUAUAAAAUUUUUGAUUUACAAUUUCGAAAUAAUCUGUGACCAACAAAAUUUUUGAUUUGUGACCACGAGGAAAUCUGUGACCAAUAAAAUUUUGAUUUGUGACCAAGAAAAAAUUUGUGACCUAUAAUUAGAGAUUUGUGACCAUAAUUGUGUAACCGUGACUUUUAUUAUAUUUAAAUUUAAAUAUUUUUAAUUAAUUACAUAAAAACGUGAUUUUUGCAUAAUUAAACGUAACUUCUUUAAUUUUGAAGUGUGCACACUUAAAACAUGGUUUGUGAAUUAUUCCCUCAAAAUUUUUUGGAUGAUAUCCUAUAAUCAGGCUGAAUCUCGAUUUUAUAGUUGGCUCAUGAGUCCAUAUACUUUUUUUUUUAAAGCAAAAAAUUCAUAAAUUUAUGAAAUAAUUUUAAAUAUGAUAUAAAAACCUCUUAGACAUAAGAUAAGACAAACAUUUUUAUACAAAACAUUAAAUACGACAUAAAAAAACACACAAGACGUUCCUGAAGCCUAAGAGCCCAGGGCUCUAAGCUCAUUUCAGCUUGCCAAGUUGAAAGUCGAGCUCGACUCGAUCUAGCCCAAUCUUGACCCAACGCUAAGAACGUUUAAAGGUGGGCCUAAGUAGUUCGCGGUCAUUAUUACGCCUACGCUGGUUUUGAUAGCACUAAUUAAUGCUAAUUAUUCCUAUGAUUUUAUGGUAAAAAUGAUAAAUGCAAUCUAAUUUGGACUUUGUUAUUGAUAAAGCAAGUAUUUAUGACGUGGAAUUGAUUAUUGUUUAGACCAUUGUUAUCUCCACCGAUUUCUGGAGGAACUGAUUAAUGCAAUUUAAUUUUGACGUUACUACAACUCUUAAUUUUUUUUUUUAAUCAUUUUGGCAUGAUUAAAUACUCUCAUCUUGCUAGGUAAGGAGGAGAAAAUGCCCCCCUCCCGAGGUAUAAUUUAGUGGUGCAAAUGACAGGAAUGAAGUACUCACAACCUUACUAGCAACCGCAGUGUAAGGGUUUGAUUCCUAAGAUAUGAAAUUAGAUUCUUUGUGGGCACCAGUGUACGGGUAAACUCUUAUUCCCUGACUAGUUGAGACACAUCUUUCGAUUUACCUCCCUCACAAUAUUCCAGAAGCGGGACGGUGGGAACCCUUAAGGUUGGGAUUCAACCUAAGGAGAAAUUACUUGAAAAUAACUUAAGCACUUCAAAAUGUAUAUUGCUAGUAGUGAAUAUUUCCUUCAUCAUCCUAUGCCAAACACACCUUUACAAACACGUUAUUUAAGUCUAUUUGGUAAAAAUUAAAAUUAGAUUUUAAUAAAAGUUAAUUAAAUAUGUAAUUAAAAAGUUGUGAAAUUCAUAAAUUUUGUGAUUAAAGUGAGUUGUUACUUUGAAAUUUAGGCAAAGUAUGAUAAUGUAGAAUGCAAAACGGGUGAGGUUAGUGGGUCCCUAUAUAAUAUAUGAUAAAUAGAGGUUAGUAAUAUUAUUGAUAAAGCUUUUAGACAGAGAACGAAAGAAAGAAAGAAAACAGUGAGUGAAAAAUAAGAGCGGUUUGAUACAGUGAAAAUUCCCGUUUUUUUCCCCAAUCUUAUAUAUAAUACGUGUAUAUAUAGAGAGAGAACGCAUGAAUCGUCAUUUGUACUAAUCGAGAUGUUGUGUAUGUGUACAAACUCAGAAAUGGUUGAAUCUGACUCCAAUAUUUUUCAAGAAGCUGCNNN